GAAUCCCUUGGGAAGAGCCGUGGCCUGACCAUGUCGGUCUUCGAACGCACCCAGACCUUGGGAUCGAUUAUAGCUGGAAUUACAGUCCUUGGAAUUACAGUUCUUGCGGUUACCCUUCUCAAUCGCAAACCAGAGCCUCUUUUCGGGCACUCCUGCCACCAUUGGACAGAACACGCUUGCGCAAAGAAAAGUGCUGUGUCGCCAUGACGACCAUCGUCGCGGGGACUCCUUAACAGCGCCGGAAGGUAACGCUGAAUGGGGAAGAGCGACGUGGGCUCCUGAAGACCGACACCGACCAUUGGUACCUGAGCUCGCUCCCAGGCUACAGCAGAGGGAUUUAAGGGCACACACCCACAGGGAUGCGGAGGGUGGAAAGGCGAGAACAGCAGCCACUUCUGGAAGGUACGCAGAGUUGGGAGGUGGCCCCGUCCCUGCAGAAUGACCUGAGAAAUUUGAGUCCCGCGGCCCCCGAGAGUCGGGUGUAGAGAAGGGCUUACCGACCUACCAGAACCCUCCAGAAGCCAGACUCUGACCCAGAGAGCCUCCUCAGCCUGCCUUUGCAGGUCACGCUUUCCCGCGGUGCCUUCGGCUGUGGGGACAAUAUCAUCUUUUCCUUCCAGAAGGCGGGUUGUGCCUCCUACUCCUUUUUUCAGAAGCAAACAGGGUGCUGUUAGGAUUGUGGCAGAUGUUGGCCAGAGGGUCACCAAACCUGUUUCCUCUUUCUCCCGGGCACCCAGCGGGACACGCUGUCCAGCCCUCUGCACAGGCAUGUGACUGAGCCCCUCCCCGACGGAACAUGCCGGAAACACUGUAUGCCGCAUCCAGGCAAGGCCUGUGCAGCCCACCCUGCUCUUUCCUCCUGUUCGCCCUCUGCCAGCCCCCUGCGGGCUCCAAACGGAGGCCCCGAGGCUCUGGGAGGAGGACAGAACCCCUGACGCAGAGAGGCCUGGGUCCCCGCAUGACCGCGUGGAACAGAGCCCCCUACCCCGCCUGCCCCGCGCAGUCUCGGACGACAAACACACCCUGGUUGGAUUGGGUCACUGCAAUCGGGGACUGAUGGCUAUGACAGUCAACACCCCCUGAUUAAUACGGGCUCCUGACGUGAGUCGUGAAACCCAGGGAAACCUGAGCAAUUAUUUUUCGGAGCACAGCCCCUCAUCCCGAGCAGGCUGCCCUCGGACUUCUCUGCGACAUUAGCUCUCCCUCGUUCUACAGCAGAACGCUUGCCAACUCGAACUGGAAAAUCGACUCCCUUGGGUCUCAGCCUGCCAGCCCAGCCCAGCCCAGAAAUUUGGGACCCCCCAACCUCCAUGACUGUGCGAGCCAAUUCCUGUAAUAGACCUCUUUCUAUAUAAACACA